GACGAACGCUGGCGGCGUGCUUAACACAUGCAAGUCGAACGGAAAGGCCCUGCUUUUGUGGGGUGCUCGGGUGGCGAAAGGGUGAGUAACACGUGAGUAACCUUCCCUUGACUUUGGGGUAACUUCAGGAAACUAGGGCUAAUAUCGGAUAGGAUCUCAUGCUGCAUGGUGGGGGGUGGAAAUUUUCGGCGGUUGGGGAUGGACGCGCGGCUGAUCGGCUAGUUGGUGGGGUAGUGGAUGACCAAGGGUGGGACGGGUCGCCGGCAUGAGAGGGUGACCGGCGACAUGGGGACUGAGAGAGGGACCAGAGUGCUACGGGAGGCAGCGGUGGGGAAUAUGGCACAGUGAGAGGGAGCGUGAUGCAGAAACGCCGGGUGCGUGAUGACGGCUUUUGGGGUGUGAAAAGCAUUCGCCUGUGACGACGCGGGAGUGACGGUAAUGGGUAAAGAAGCACCGGCUAACUACGUG
rnacentral:rRNA from 1 species